UGAAACCUGCGAAUCGGAACGU
rnacentral:siRNA from 1 species